rnacentral:rRNA from 1 species
UACGUAGGGUGCAAGCGUUGUCCGGAAUUAUUGGGCGUAAAGAGCUCGUAGGCGGUCUGUCACGUCGGCUGUGAAAACCCGAGGCUCAACCUCGGGCCUGCAGUCGAUACGGGCAAACUAGAGUACUGCAGGGGAGACUGGAAUUCCUGGUGUAGCGGUGAAAUGACGCAGAUAUCAGGAGGAACACCGGUGGCGAAGGCGGGUCUCUGGGCAGUAACUGACGCUGGAGGAGCGAAAGCGUGGGGAGCGAACAGG